GGUUAAGCGACUAAGCGUACACGGUGGAUGCCCUGGCAGUCAGAGGCGAUGAAGGACGUGCUAAUCUGCGAAAAGCGUCGGUAAGGUGAUAUGAACCGUUACAGCCGGCGAUGUCCGAAUGGGGAAACCCAGUGCAAUUCGUUGCACUAUCGUUUGAUGAAUACAUAGUCAAACGAGGCGAACCGGGGGAACUGAAACAUCUAAGUACCCCGAGGAAAAGAAAUCAACCGAGAUUCCCCCAGUAGCGGCGAGCGAACGGGGAGCAGCCCGGAGUCUGAAUCAGCUUGUGUGUUAGUGGAAGCGUCUGGAAAGUCGCAGGGUACAGGGUGAUACUCCCGUACACUAAAACACACAGGUUGUGAACUCGAAGAGUAGGGCGGGACACGUGGUAUCCUGUCUGAAUAUGGGGGGACCAUCCUCCAAGGCUAAAUACUCCUGACUGACCGAUAGUGAACCAGUACCGUGAGGGAAAGGCGAAAAGAACCCCGGCGAGGGGAGUGAAAAAGAACCUGAAACCGUGUACGUACAAGCAGUAGGAGCCCACUUGUUGGGUGACUGCGUACCUUUUGUAUAAUGGGUCAGCGACUUAUAUUCUGUAGCAAGGUUAACCGUAUAGGGGAGCCGCAGGGAAACCGAGUCUUAACUGGGCGUUAAGUUGCAGGGUAUAGACCCGAAACCCGGUGAUCUAGCCAUGGGCAGGUUGAAGGUUGGGUAACACUAACUGGAGGACCGAACCGACUAAUGUUGAAAAAUUAGCGGAUGACUUGUGGCUGGGGGUGAAAGGCCAAUCAAACCGGGAGAUAGCUGGUUCUCCCCGAAAGCUAUUUAGGUAGCGCCUCGUGAACUCAUCUUCGGGGGUAGAGCACUGUUUCGGCUAGGGGGUCAUCCCGACUUACCAACCCGAUGCAAACUACGAAUACCGAAGAAUGUUAUCACGGGAGACACACGGCGGGUGCUAACGUCCGUCGUGAAGAGGGAAACAACCCAGACCGCCAGCUAAGGUCCCAAAGUCAUGGUUAAGUGGGAAACGAUGUGGGAAGGCCCAGACAGCCAGGAUGUUGGCUUAGAAGCAGCCAUCAUUUAAAGAAAGCGUAAUAGCUCACUGGUCGAGUCGGCCUGCGCGGAAGAUGUAACGGGGCUAAACCAUGCACCGAAGCUGCGGCAGCGACGCUUAUGCGUUGUUGGGUAGGGGAGCGUUCUGUAAGCCGUUGAAGGUGGCCUGUGAGGGUUGCUGGAGGUAUCAGAAGUGCGAAUGCUGACAUAAGUAACGAUAAUGCGGGUGAAAAACCCGCACGCCGGAAGACCAAGGGUUCCUGUCCAACGUUAAUCGGGGCAGGGUGAGUCGACCCCUAAGGCGAGGCCGAAAGGCGUAGUCGAUGGGAAACAGGUUAAUAUUCCUGUACUUGGUGUUACUGCGAAGGGGGGACGGAGAAGGCUAUGUUGGCCGGGCGACGGUUGUCCCGGUUUAAGCAUGUAGGCGGAUGUUCCAGGUAAAUCCGGAACGUUAUUAACGCUGAGGUGUGAUGACGAGGCACUACGGUGCUGAAGUGACAAAUGCCCUGCUUCCAGGAAAAGCCUCUAAGCAUCAGGUAACAUCAAAUCGUACCCCAAACCGACACAGGUGGUCAGGUAGAGAAUACCAAGGCGCUUGAGAGAACUCGGGUGAAGGAACUAGGCAAAAUGGUGCCGUAACUUCGGGAGAAGGCACGCUGAUAUGUAGGUGAAGUGAUUUACUCAUGGAGCUGAAAUCAGUCGAAGAUACCAGCUGGCUGCAACUGUUUAUUAAAAACACAGCACUGUGCAAACACGAAAGUGGACGUAUACGGUGUGACGCCUGCCCGGUGCCGGAAGGUUAAUUGAUGGGGUUAUCCGUAAGGAGAAGCUCUUGAUCGAAGCCCCGGUAAACGGCGGCCGUAACUAUAACGGUCCUAAGGUAGCGAAAUUCCUUGUCGGGUAAGUUCCGACCUGCACGAAUGGCGUAAUGAUGGCCAGGCUGUCUCCACCCGAGACUCAGUGAAAUUGAACUCGCUGUGAAGAUGCAGUGUACCCGCGGCAAGACGGAAAGACCCCGUGAACCUUUACUAUAGCUUGACACUGAACACUGGUCCUUGAUGUGUAGGAUAGGUGGGAGGCUUUGAAGUGUGGACGCCAGUCUGCAUGGAGCCAUCCUUGAAAUACCACCCUUUAAUGGCUGGUGUUCUAACGUGGGCCCGUAAUCCGGGUUGCGGACAGUGUCUGGUGGGUAGUUUGACUGGGGCGGUCUCCUCCUAAAGAGUAACGGAGGAGCACGAAGGUCAGCUAAUCCUGGUCGGACAUCAGGAGGUUAGUGCAAUGGCAUAAGCUGGCUUGACUGCGAGCGUGACGGCGCGAGCAGGUGCGAAAGCAGGUCAUAGUGAUCCGGUGGUUCUGAAUGGAAGGGCCAUCGCUCAACGGAUAAAAGGUACUCCGGGGAUAACAGGCUGAUACCGCCCAAGAGUUCAUAUCGACGGCGGUGUUUGGCACCUCGAUGUCGGCUCAUCACAUCCUGGGGCUGAAGUAGGUCCCAAGGGUAUGGCUGUUCGCCAUUUAAAGUGGUACGCGAGCUGGGUUUAGAACGUCGUGAGACAGUUCGGUCCCUAUCUGCCGUGGGCGCUGGAGAAUUGAGGGGGGCUGCUCCUAGUACGAGAGGACCGGAGUGGACGCAUCACUGGUGUUCGGGUUGUCAUGCCAAUGGCAUUGCCCGGUAGCUAAAUGCGGAAGAGAUAAGUGCUGAAAGCAUCUAAGUACGAAACUUGCCCCGAGAUGAGUUCUCCCUGACCCUUUAAGGGUCCUGAAGGAACGUUGAAGACGACGACGUUGAUAGGCCGGGUGUGUAAGCGCAGCGAUGCGUUGAGCUAACCGGUACUAAUGAACCGUGAGGCUUAACCUU
rnacentral:rRNA from 1 species